CUGUGCAUGGCUCAACUUGGUUCAGAGCACUCCGUUCGGGUCGGAGGGAUUGGAGGUUCGAAUCCUCCUGCACAGA
rnacentral:tRNA from 1 species